rnacentral:rRNA from 1 species
AAACCGGAGCUAAUACCGGAUAAUAUAUUGAACCGCAUGGUUCAAUAGUGAAAGUACGGUUUUGCUGUCACUUAUAGAUGGAUCCGCGCCGCAUUAGCUAGUUGGUAAGGUAACGGCUUACCAAGGCAACGAUGCGUAGCCGACCUGAGAGGGUGGUCGGCCACACUGGAACUGAGACACGGUCCAG